CUUUGGGAGAUUGAGAUGGGUGGAUCACUUAAGGCCAGGAGUUUGAGACAAGCCUGGCCAACAUGGCAAAAGCCAGUCUCUGAUAAAAAUACAAAAAUUAGCCAGGUGUGGUGGCACCAUCACAUAGCUAGGAGCUCAGAUUCAUCCACACCCUUUUCACUCCUAGAAUGUUUAACUUUUGUUCUGUCUUCUCUGGUCAUGAAGCCACUCUGCUGAGCAUUCUUUUCUCAUCUUGUUUUGAUACUAUUCUUCCUUUUCUUUUAGCCAGCAGCCUGCAAGCCAUAGUCAUCUGCAUUGCAGUCUAACCAGUAGGUUAUGAAAAAAGAAAAAACACACAUAAUAGCAAGUUAAGUGGAUUCUAACAUUUAGAGGAAUCUAUAAUGAUUAGAAAGCCCCUUAUUAUGUCACUUCUCUAUCUUCACAUGGAGUCAUUAGCAUUCUUGGCCACCGCAAAGCAUGAGCAGAAACUCAGUGAAACUCCUGCUGCUUGACAGAGGGAGGAAUGCUUCAUCCCAGAUAUUCAUACUAUACCAAAGGAUGGAAUGGAGACUUCUGGAUUCCUACCUCCGAGAUCCAGUACGACAUAAGCCAUUUGGGGCGGGGCCUGGAUCCCUAAGGACAAGAAGCUUUUAAGCCAAGCAGAAAACAAACAAAACAAAACACAACAACACAGACACAGAUGCAGACAUGAAUAAAUAAAGCAGAC
rnacentral:lncRNA from 1 species